AGGGAGAAGCCGGCCAUGAUGUUGAAGAUGGCGAACGCCGGGGAGGCGAGCGGGUUGCCGAUAAACCCUGCGAUGGUGUUCCAGUCGAGGCCGAAGGAGCCGACGCCGAGGCCCUUGAGGCCGGAGCCGAUCUGCUGCGCCGUCACAGAGUCCUUGAAGAACCAGCAGAGCGCCGAGAGGGUGCUGGCCGCCGGGAACAGGUAG
rnacentral:rRNA from 1 species